GACGAACGCUGGCGGCGUGCUUAACACAUGCAAGUCGAACGGAAAGACCCUGCUUUUGUGCGGUGCUCGAGUGGCGAACGGGUGAGUAACACGUGAGUAACCUGCCCUUGACUUUGGGAUAACUUCAGGAAACUGGGGCUAAUACCGGAUAGGAGCUCCUGCUGCAUGGUGGGGGUUGGAAAGUUUCGGCGGUUGGGGAUGGACUCGCGGCUUAUCAGCUUGUUGGUGGGGUAGUGGCUUACCAAGGCUUUGACGGGUAGCCGGCCUGAGAGGGUGACCGGCCACAUUGGGACUGAGAUACGGCCCAGACUCCUACGGGAGGCAGCAGUGGGGAAUAUUGCACAAUGGGCGGAAGCCUGAUGCAGCAACGCCGCGUGCGGGAUGACGGCCUUCGGGUUGUAAACCGCUUUCGCCUGUGACGAAGCGUGAGUGACGGUAAUGGGUAAAGAAGCACCGGCUAACUACGUG
rnacentral:rRNA from 1 species